AUGGAGAAAGAUCUUUCAGGGCUGGCAGACGAUGCCCUGGAUUCGGUUGUGCUCCAAGAAGCCCGGGACUUGGCACAGAAGACUGCAAAGGUUAAGCGCCAUCCGCACGGUCCUACGCCAAGAAGAUUUCAUCUACCUUCCACCGUCAAAAUAAAGUGUCCCAUCUCGGAGCAGAGGGCACUGGCUAUAUUGCUUAGGAGGCUGGGCAUGAUAAAGAAGGAUGAAGUGGAUGAACGUGCCAUGGACAGAUGUUUGGCGGUCUUGGGGGCUUCUUUUCCUAAAAGCUUGCUCCAGGCUAUUUUCUGCGGUUCAAACAUCGUGAAGGAGUUAUGGGGUAUCUCGGCCCGCGAUUGUUACCUUCUGAUUUCCCCUUCCCUGUUUGUGGUGCAACCUCGCAAUAGCUAG
rnacentral:rRNA from 1 species